ACAUACGAACACAGGAAGUGGAAAACAGAGCUUCCCGUCCGCUCAGCUGUACUUAAGCCACUUGCCGGUCGGUUAGUAGUUGGGUGGGUGACCACCAGCGAAUCCCCCGACUUUCGUAUGUU
rnacentral:rRNA from 1 species